rnacentral:rRNA from 1 species
AACGUAGGAGGCAAGCGUUAUCCGGAGUUACUGGGCGUAAAGCGCAUGUAGGCGGUUGGACAAGUGGUGUGUGAAAGCGCCCGGCUAAACUGGGCGAGGACACAUCAGACUGUUCGGCUAGAGGGGGCUAGAGGGGCGCAGAAUUCGGGGUGUAGCGGUGAAAUGUGUAGAGAUCCCGAGGAAUACCAGUGGUGAAGACGGCGCCCUGGGGCCUUACUGACGCUGAGAUGCGAAAGCGUGGGGAGCGAACGGG